UGCUUAAUUGUUAUAGCUAGGUACAAUAUUGAGUAACAGUGAUGAUAGUGGACAUCCUUGUCUUUUUCUCAAUCUCGAUAGUAAAGCUUUCGGUUUUUCACCAUUGCGACCUUGAUCAAAUCAUUUAACCAAUCUGUCAUUCGUUUCUGUAUCUUUCUAAACAGUGGCGAAACAAUUGAAAUAGUUUUUAGGAGAAAAUAAAUGUGCCUGGACCCAAUUUUUUAGAGUAAUUUGUUUAGCUGUCUUUUGUCUGUUAUUUUACUUUUGAAGUUGAAAUAAAUUAAAAAAAUCAAUGGCGGAAGGGUGACGUCAUCAACACCGCGACAAAAGACAUUCCAUGAAAAAAAAAUCACCCAAAUAUAAGUGAAUAUAAGGGGAGAUUCCAGAACUGUGGAGGAUGGUAGAGACUGGAUGUUGAGUUGAGGAAAAGAAUAUCAGGUAGGAAGCUUCCCUCCAGGACCUGCCAGUUCCUCUUCCCUGCGCCCUCAUCCCGGCUCCUGCAAAGCUCGGGAGUUCUCCAGGGCUGGAGGCGGCCUGGCUCCCUCUCACUGGGGAAACAGAUUUUAGCGUAACGCACAGCAGUGAGUUAGAAACCCACACCUAUCCAGGCAGAGAGACCCGAGUUGACAGAAACCAAGGGUGGAAAACAGCCUGCUGAGGAAUGCUGAAAACAAAGGGGUUUGGGCCAGUGGGGAGUGAAACCGCAGCUGAAAGAGGGUGUCUGAGUGGUGCACUCGCUUAACGCAGUUACUGUCAGUGGAACCCCCUAAAUGCAGAAAGGACUUUUCUGGAGGGACCCAUCUUUCUGGAAUGAUCCCACCUGAUUCCCAGAGGCAGGAUAACCUAGAAGAGAAGAAACUUGAGGCAGAAAAACCUUACAGGAAAAAAGUCCCAGAAAUGAAAAGUGUAAGGAAAAUGGGGCACUGAGUGAAGAAGAGAAUUUAAACAAAUCAUAGGAACUGGGAAGAAAAUUCUGCACAAAAGCAAAUGGAGCAGACCAAGAUUCCUGGAAAAGGAAGAGAGGACAGAAGCUGGCAAAUUAUGGCAGGUUCUCAUGUCUCAGGUUCUGGGAAAAGCAGCACUUACAAGAGAUAGGAACUUCAUUAAGCUUCUGUUUGCUGUCAGAAUUUACGAUCCAGUAUCAAAUGUGAAAGUGGACAUGCAUUCUUAAGAUUUGGUCACCUUCUGCUUGUCUGGCUGUGAGUGAAAAUCCAGAGUAAGUUAGGUGCCAGCUGAGAUAUUUACAAUGCAAUCACAGGUGAGUAGAGAAUUCUUCUUUAACUGAAAUUGUACCUCUGCUGCCAAGAGAUGGGAACAUUUCUCCUGUUAGUGUGGAUAUUGCAAGUGCAUUCAGGAAC
rnacentral:lncRNA from 1 species